GACGUAGGGUGCAAACGUUGUUCGGAAUCACUGGGCGUAAAGGGCGCGUAGGCGGACUUGUAAGUCGGGAGUGAAAACUCGGGGCUCAACCCCGAGCCUGCUUCUGAAACUGCGAGUCUUGAGGACCGGAGAGGAAAGUGGAAUUCCUAGUGUAGCGGUGGAAUGCGUAGAUAUUAGGAAGAACACCAGUGGCGAAGGCGACUUUCUGGACGGUUCCUGACGCUGAGGCGCGAAAGCUAGGGGAGCAAACGGG
rnacentral:rRNA from 1 species